AACGAACGCUGGCGGCAUGCCUAACACAUGCAAGUCGAACGAGACCUUCGGGUCUAGUGGCGAACGGGUGCGUAACGCGUGGGAACCUGCCCUUAGGUUCGGAAUAACUCCCCGCAAGGGGUGCUAAUACCGGAUAAUGUCUUCGGACCAAAGAUUUAUCGCCUUUGGAUGGGCCCGCGUUGGACUAGUUAGUUGGUAGGGUAAAAGCCUACAAAGGCGACGAUCCAUAGCUGGUCAGAGAGGAUGAUCAGCCACACUGGGACUGAGACACGGCCCAGACUGCAACAGGAGGCAGCAGUGGGGAAUAUUGGACAAUGGGCGAAAGCCUGAUCCAGCAAUGCAGCGUGAGUGAUGAAGGCCUUAUGAUUGUAAAACUCUUUUACCCGGGAUGAUAAUAAGAAUACCGGGGUGAUAGGCUCCGGCGAGCUCCGUG
rnacentral:rRNA from 1 species